rnacentral:rRNA from 1 species
UACGAAGGGGGCUAGCGUUGUUCGGAAUCACUGGGCGUAAAGCGCACGUAGGUGGCGCGUUAAGUCAGGGGUGAAAUCCUGGAGCUCAACUCCAGCACUGCCUUUGAUCCUGGCGUGCCCGAGUGUGGGAGAGGUUGGUGGAACUCCGAGUGUAGAGGUGAAAUUCGUAGAGAUUCGGAAGAACACCUGUGGCGAAGGCGUCCAACUGGCCCAUUACUGACGCUGAGGAGCGAUAGCGUGGGGAUCAAACAGG